GGAUAUAGUUUAAAGGUAGAACUGCGGUCUCCAAAACCGCCAGUGUGGGUUCAAUUCCUACUAUCCC
rnacentral:tRNA from 1 species